GCGCUCGUAGCUCAGCGGAUAGAGCACCCGCCUUCUAAGCGGGUGGUCAUUGGUUCGAAUCCAAUCGGGCGCA
rnacentral:tRNA from 1 species